rnacentral:rRNA from 1 species
UACAGAGGGGGCAAGCGUUAUUCGGAAUUAUUGGGCGUAAAGGGCGCGUAGGCGCCUGGCAAGUGGAUGGUGAAAUCCCUCGGCUUAACCGAGGAACUGCCAUCCAGACUGCUUGGCUUGAGACCGGGAGAGGUGAGUGGAAUUCCCAGUGUAGCGGUGAAAUGCGUAGAUAUCAGGAGGAACACCGGUGGUGUAGACGGCUCACUGGACCAUAACUGACGCUGAGGCGCGAAAGCUAGGGGAGCAAACAGG